AGCUGACGAGUCCCAAAUAGGACGAAAUGCGCAUCUU
rfam:Trichobilharzia regenti genome assembly, scaffold: TRE_scaffold0002356